rnacentral:rRNA from 1 species
GAUGAACGCUGGCGGCGUGCCUAAUACAUGCAAGUCGAGCGAAUGGAUUAAGAGCUUGCUCUUAUGAAGUUAGCGGCGGACGGGUGAGUAACACGUGGGUAACCUGCCCAUAAGACUGGGAUAACUCCGGGAAACCGGGGCUAAUACCGGAUAACAUUUUGAACCGCAUGGUUCGAAAUUGAAAGGCGGCUUCGGCUGUCACUUAUGGAUGGACCCGCGUGCAUUAGCUAGUUGGUGAGGUAACGGCUCACCAAGGCAACGAUGCGUAGCCGACCUGCAAGGGAGAUCAGCCACACUGGGACUGAGACACGGCCGAGACGACUACGAGAGGAAGCAGGAGGGAAUCUUCCGCAAGGGACGAAAGUCUGAGGAAGCAACGCCGCGUGAGUGAUGAAGGCUUUCGGGUCGUAAAACUCUGUUGUUAGGGAAGAACAAGUGCUAGUUGAAUAAGCUGGCAACUUGACGGUACCUAACCAGAAAGCCACGGCUAACUACGUGCCAGCAGCCGCAGUAA